CAGCAGCCGCGGGAACACGUAGGGUGCGAGCGUUAAUCGGAAUUACUGGGCGUAAAGCGUGCGCAGGCGGUUAUAUAAGACAGAUGUGAAAUCCCCGGGCUCAACCUGGGAACUGCAUUUGUGACUGGCAAGCUAGAGUAUGGCAGAGGGGGGUGGAAUUCCGCGUGUAGCAGCGAAAUGCGUAGAUAUGCGGAGGAACACCGAUGGCGAAGGCAGCCCCCUGGGCCAAUACUGACGCUCAUGCACAAAAGCGUGGGGAGCAAACAGGAUUAGAUACCCCCGUAGUCCCUGUCUCUUAUAC
rnacentral:rRNA from 1 species